rnacentral:rRNA from 1 species
AGCGGCGCAAGGGUGAGUAAGGCGACGGUAACCAACCCCACGGUUGGGCAUAACCGCGGGAAACCGCGGGUAAUUCCCAGCGACGUCACGCCACGGCAUCGUGGUGUGACCAAAGUUCCGGCGUCGUGGGACGGGCCGUUGUGGUAUUAGCUAGUUGGCGGGGUGAUGGCCCACCAAGGCGGCGAUGCCUACCGGGCGUGCGAGCGUGGCCCGGCACACUGGGACUGAGACAUGCCCAG